UGCCUAACACAUGCAAGUCGAACGAAGAGGCCCCUUCGGGGGUACUUCAGUGGCGAACGGGUGAGUAACACGUAGGUAACCUGCCCCGAAGUGGGGGGUAACGAUUCGAAAGGAUCGCUAAUACCCCAUGUGAUCGUAAGAUUAAAGCUACGGCGCUUCGGGAGGGGCCUGCGGCCCAUCAGCUAGUUGGUAGGGUAAUGGCCUACCAAGGCAACAACGGGUAGGGGGCCUGAGAGGGUGACCCCCCACACUGGCACUGAUACACGGGCCAGACUCCUACGGGAGGCAGCAGUGAGGAAUAUUGCGCAAUGGACGAAAGUCUGACGCAGCAACGCCGCGUGGGUGAUGAAGGUCUUCGGAUCGUAAAACCCUUUUGAGGGAGACGAGCAAGGACGGUAUCUCUCGAAUAAGUCUCGGCUAACUACGUGCCAGCAGCCGCGGUAAGACGUAGGAGGCGAGCGCUAUCCGGAUUCACUGGGUGUAAAGCGCGUGCAGGUGGUCUCGUAAGUUGGACGUAAAAUCUCCUGGCUCAACUGGGAGGGGCCGUUCAAUACUGCGGGGCUAGAGGGCAGGAGAGGGAGGUGGAAUUCCCGGUGUAGUGGUGAAAUGCGUAGAUAUCGGGAGGAACACCAGUGGCGAAAGCGGCCUCCUGGCCUGCUCCUGACACUAAGACGCGAAAGCUAGGGGAGCGAACGGGAUUAGAAACCCCGGUAGUCCUAGCCAUAAACGAUGGAUGCUAGGUGUCGGUGGUAUAGACCCCAUCGGUGCCGAAGCCAACGCGUUAAGCAUCCCACCUGGGGACUACGACCGCAAGGCUAAAACUCAAAGGAAUUGACGGGGGCCCGCACAAGCAGCGGAGCGUGUGGUUUAAUUCGAGGCUACACGAAGAACCUUACCUGGGUUUGACAUGCGCGUGGUAGGGAAGUGAAAGCGGACCGACCUUCGGGAGCGCGCACAGGUGCUGCAUGGCUGUCGUCAGCUCGUGUCGUGAGAUGUUCGGUUGAGUCCGAAAACGAGCGCAACCCUCGGUGCUAGUUACAGGUGUCUAGCGCGACUGCCCGUGAGAAACGGGAGGAAGGUGGGGAUGAUGUCAAGUCAGCAUGGCCUUUAUAUCCAGGGCGACACACACGCUACAAUGGCUGGCACAAUGCGUUGCAAGGGCGCGAGCCGGAGCCAAUCGAGAAAGCCGGUCGUAGUUCGGAUUGCAGGCUGCAACCCGCCUGCAUGAAGGAGGAGUUGCUAGUAACCGCGCAUCAGCGAUGGCGCGGUGAAUACGUUCCCGGGCCUUGUACACACCGCCCGUCAC
rnacentral:rRNA from 1 species